CCCUCAUACCCCCCGGGCCCCCGCCCCGCCCGCCGCGCGCGGCGGGCGGGGCGGGGGCACGGGGGGCCUACGGGAGGCAGCAGUGGGGAAUAUUGCACAAUGGGCGCAAGCCUGAUGCAGCCAUGCCGCGUGUAUGAAGAAGGCCUUCGGGUUGUAAAGUACUUUCAGCGAGGAGGAAGGCGUUAAGGUUAAUAACCUUGGCGAUUGACGUACUC
rnacentral:rRNA from 1 species